CGGGCGGUUCGCCGCCCGCGACUCGGCGAAGAAUCCAUUGAACCUUAUCAUUUAGAGGAAGGAGAAGUCGUAACAAGGUUUCCGUAGGUGAACCUGCGGAAGGAUCAUUG
rnacentral:rRNA from 3 species